AUGAGUUGAUGAGUCAAAUGAG
rnacentral:siRNA from 1 species